rnacentral:tRNA from 1 species
GGCCCAUUAGCUCAGCUGGUUAGAGCGCCGUGCUAAUAACGCGGAGGUCGCAGGUUCGAUCCCUGCAUGGGCCA